GUGGCUGGUUUACAUAUGAAAGUUCAACACAAUUAGCAUCUGUUAAAACUAUCAGAUUGUCAUUCAUUAAUCAUUUUGUUUAAGCUGGAAAACUCUCACAAAUCAAAGCACAAAAGCAUGGAACUGAUGUUUACAGUAGUGAACAUGUGCUUUGGUGAGGGGUUAUAGAUUUCUCUAAUGUUUGUUAUUUACACCCUAAAUCAUUUUUACUGACUUUUAAAUUAAAAAAAGAAAAAUCUCAUAAAAGAGAAACGAAUGCAGUUCCAUUGUAAAAAGUGGAGUUGUACAAGAGGUAUAACUGCUAUUUUUUCAUCCUAUCUUAACAUGUCUUGAAGGCAGUGUCAUGUUUAGGACAUCUUAAAAGAGCAUAUAGUAUUUCUCUUAAGACACAUAGCUAGAGAUGGGAGGUUUUCCUAUUUUUUUGGUUAGCAAGAUGUAAGGAGCUUAGUUAGUAAGGAAUCUCCAUGUAAUAGAAUAAAUAGACAGUUAAAAGUAGAAGUCUUGUGAGACAAUGAAAGAAAAAGGUGGUUGAGUCCUACUGUGUGUUAUUUCUUGUACUAUACAUUGUCUAUACAAUGACAAACAUAAGGUACUUAAUUUUGGUUUCAAAUAAUCACAACUAGAAAGCCACAAAUUGACUUUUCAUUUUUCCCUUGCAAGUGCAAUAAAACCUAAGGUAAACCUUCCUGCCAAAUUGCAUUUAUGGGAACCUCGCUUUCCUGUUCACUAGUUUUACUCCAAUUAAUUAAAAGCAGCGCUCCUGCCCUGAGCUCUGGUUUCCAAGGUAUUCACAGAAGGGCUCAUGCCCCAUCCAAAGUCCUGAGUGAGACCAAAUCAGAAGUUCUUCAUGGACUCAUACCCUAGGGCUCCUGCACCUGAAGAUUUGAGGUAUGGUUUUUCUUUUUUUUGUAAAGUUUACUUCUUCAUAAGAUGGAAACCCUACAAUGCUGAAGAAAACAGACCUUACGGAUUUUAAUACAGAACUACGGGGAUGAAAACAAGCUUACUCUGUGCUGAUUCAUUUGCUUACUUGUUUCAAAUAGGAACAGUUAUGUUGAUGCCUCUAUAUGAGGACAAGGUGAGAUGAAUAUUUAGAUUUCUUUUUUUUUUUCCUUAAUAUUGUUAUUCUUUUCACAAAUAUUCCUGACUGAAAAAGUUCUUUAAGAAUUCUGCACUCUCCUUGCUUUCCAAUUAAGUUUUCUAGGCUUUCUUAUGUGGUCCUCUGAGUGCUGGAAAGUAACAGAAACAAGAAUGCAUUUAAUACCUGGCCUGGUGUCUUGGCAGCAAAGCUUAGCACUCCAGAGUGGGGAGUAGCAGGUUCAAGACCAACCCCAGGAGUCUUACUACUUGGACUGGCAGAGGGCUAGUGUAAUGCACAGACAGUGAGCUCAUUCUGCAGGUGGAGUGUUCAGCUGCAUUGAUCUUGUGGCAAACCCAGCCUGCUAAGGUUUUGGAGAAACAUUGGCUCUGAUCUGAAAGGAAAUUGUGCUGCCUUUCCCUGUCUUUCCACUAGUUUAGCUUGCAAGCUCUAAUAACAUUAAAACAUAGUUUAAACAAGAAGGCUGACAAAGCCAGAGAGACACAAAAUAAUUUCCUAGAAGUACUAAAUACAAUAAGUAAAACUCUAUAAUCUCCCAUUAGGUAAUUGUAUUUUCAUGGGGUCAGCCAGCCUCCCUGGCUAGGUUGAGGUCAAUUCUAAAAUAUGUGUAUUAUAUACAUUAAGCAUCUGUUAAUGAAGCAUGAAUUUCAUCAGCAAUCUGGGUGCCAAAAUCAACUCAUUUUGGUACAUGGUUUGCAUCUACAGUGGUGUCUUAUGGAUCUGCUUCUUAGAUUGAACAGCAAGGUUGUAUAGAUGCAAUGAAUGGCAGAUAAUAAGGAAAGAAAGCAACACCAGGAGCAUUUUCAAGAAGCAUAAAUUCUCUAAAUUUUCACUAGAGGAAAUUCAGAGUUCAGAGGACUUUAAGAUGACAGUAAGUAAAGAGUAAGAAAAGAUCAUGUUACCUGAUCCAAGAAUAUCUGGUCAGUGCUGAUAAUUUCCCUAUAAGAAAAUAUGAAACAGUAGUAGAUAAGUGUGAAGCACAUCAUCUAUUUUUGAGCGCUCUUUGUUGGCUAGAGGUAACCAAGUGGGGCUUCAGUUUAAAAAUUCACCAUUACUUUCCUCAGAUCCAUCACAGGGACCCUGGUAGAGCAGCAUGAAAACAAUACUCUGUUAUCAGUUAAGAAAUGAGCCCUUGUGCUUCUUACUUCUCCUGUCAGGCCAAGGUGUUAAAUGUAGGACUUUUUCCCAACAAUGACAGACCUAGAAAUGAAAACAAGUUCAAAAACCCCAAUGGCAAACCUUACAAAGUCAUAACGACCAUCUUCAUCUGCAAGAACCGCAGGCACAAAUGCUAUUUUGCUUUGAAAGUGAAGUGAGGUUAUGUUCCUUCUCAACAUGUAGGCUGGAAUACUGCUUUGUUUUAUUUAAGCACCACAGGCUCUAUGGACAGCAAUGAUUUUGGUCAUUUUUAAUAGCCCGUUAAAGUGGCAGAAGUGUUUGAGUGUAGUAGCCAAUGUAAAAAAGUAUAUUAAAUAAAAAAAAAAGUCUUCAGAGUUCGGAAACGGUCCCCUUUCAAUCCUUAUGUUUCCAUAGCUGAGCACAGGACUGCUGUGUGCUUUGGCAAUGAAAAAUAAUAUAACAUUUUUUGACAGAGCAAACUUCACCAGUAGCAUAUGUUGGAGCAAUACUAUAGGCUCCAAGUUGUAUUAAGCCAACUAUAAGUUUGACAGCAGAAAUAUAUCUGUCUCCUUGAACAAAUAGUCUGAGGCAUAUAUGUAGAUCCAUACAAGCUGUUCUCUUAGUUUCAACUCAUGUGAAGUAAAGGUGAGAUUUUAGUAAGCAAUAGCAUAAGCAAAUUACUAUGAAAAAGAAUUCAUCAUUCCAAGAAUUGUCUCAUAAGAUAUUGAAUCCCAAUGAGAAAUGGUGAUCAACAAGUGUACAGGGAAAAAGAGGAUCUCCUAACUAAUUCUUCAACCCUCUUCCAUUGCCACAUGAGGAGAGGAUGGGUAAGUAAAGGCAAGUUAGUCCUUCUUACUUCUUCGUAUCCAAACCUCUGGGGACAAGGAACUGAGUAAGGAAUAUGGAGAAAAGGAUGAUAUAUCUCUAUGUUUGUAGAUGAAUAAGAGAAAUUAGAUACAGACUCCUGUCUAAUCUAUAUCACCAUCUGACCCUAAAUAUUUGUAUAUGUAUGUUAAACCUCAGUUUUGCAUUACUUAGUAAAUAAAACAUACAGUUGAAAAAAAAAAAAAAGAUAAAUUAAGGUGCAGUAAAUACUACUUGUUAGCAAGAGGCAAAUUUUAUGUACCCUUUCCACACAAAAAAUAUAUAUUUUUUCUUCCUUGUAAAUAUGAGUAUGUCCUUCCGUUUUCUUAAACUGUAAAUGGGAAAGGUGAGUUGAAGGGACAGAUUUCAAUGAUCCUAUUAAUUGAAAUAAUAAGAUAUAUCCUGAGGUUGACUUUUGAAAUGUUUCGUAGGCAUGCAGUUACAGAUCUCCACACGGAUUUUGUUUCCCAUUUGUGAAAUACGUCUUAUUGCUCUUUCAGAAACAUGCUCUUCCAUCAUAUGGAGUUUGAUUAAGCUUAUUUCUUGGUGAAUUCCACCUUUCCCAUGGUCAGGGAUAACUAAAUAUCCAUUUCCUUUAGACCUUCUUCAACUGUGCCAUUUGCUGCCAUUAAUCAUGCCCUUUUGUUCACACAAAUCGGUGGCUCAAAUGAUUAGAAGGUACUACGAUGAACGGUGCCACACAGUGAGUAAAAUGUACAAAAAGAUACUAAAGAGUGCUUGCCAUACUUUUGAUGUCUUAUACGCUUAUAUGGUACAGCGUGGAGUGUCCAGUAGCUAGUUGCUCUGUUGUGCUUUUGUAUGUUAUGAGACAUUUUUAAUUCUGUAAGUUCUAAGUUUUUCUGUACUUCUGUGAGCGAGACUUUCUGCAGCACAACCAAGAGGGCUGACUGCAGAACAAAAUGAUAGCAGAUAACAGUGAACAAAGUUUUGGAAAAGCAUAAUUGGUGGAUGAAUAGGUUAUACAGUUUGUAUAAAAAACGGGACAUUUUUUUAGAUGGAAAGAUAUCUAUAAAUAAGUAUAUUAAAACAUGAUCCUUAAAACCACUCAUCAUUCAUAUAAACCAAUAGUUCUUUGUGAAAAGAAAUAAGAAAUGCGCUGUCUUAUCUGUGUGUCCAUAGCUUGCUGUAAAACCUAGUGAGACCCACCAAAGUCUUUCCAUUGAUUUCAGUGGGUUUUGAGACAGAGCUGUAAUUGCCCCUUGGAAUGACGUUACAAGGUACCUACCUUCAGAGGCUGAUUGUUUCCAUUCUGCUUCAGGUAAUAGUGUUACAGUCUAGAUCAAGAGGCUUUUUAUGCAUACCAGCUGAAAAGAAGCAGUUCCUGAUUGCUUCUGCAAAAGAAAGCAGUGACUAAGACAGCUUAGGUUUUUAAUACUGUUAGCUUGCUGGUUAAAAAGAACUAAAUCUUUUUCAAAAUCUCUAUACUGUUGAAAUCAGUGCAAACAUUAUGAAUUUACUGGUGAAAAAAUCAGUGACAUAUUUCCCUCUUUAUCCUUCUAGCCCUGAAGAAUGUAAUGCUGCUGAAUAUGCUGACUUUUGUAAGAGAUGUAAAACAGAUUCUGUGAUCAUUUGUGGUCAUUAAGAAUCACUUUUUUUUUUCUUUUUUUCUUUUUCUUUUUAUUUUUUUUUCAUGAAUAGAGGUGUUAGUGAAGGUGUUCUGGCCUAAUUCCAGCUCUGGUAAUUUGAUUUUUUUUUUCCUGCCUACACACGUUCUUUCAGCAGUCUCAUUUGGCUCUGUAUGUUGAGCUCAAUUCAGUGUUGCUCCAUGAUGCCUCUUGCAUCAGUUGGACUGGUGCAAAUGGGUACAAAGACAACCGUAUACCCUUUUUUCUUUUCCUGCUCAUAUAGCCCUUUGCUUCAAGAGCAACAAGUGGUAUAUCUAUACCACCCCUCCAUCAAUGGAUGGCAUUGAGGUAUUUGCAUAUGGGAGUAUUCAGAGGGCACCCAAAAUGGGAAUGGAAUAAAUAUGAGGGAUAGAGUAGAAGCUGAAAGCCGAAGCAUUCUUCUAACAAGGAUUUUCAGCCCUGCAGUGACACACAAGAACAUGGUCAAGUCAGCUUUUUGCAGGAGGUUUAACCCCACUAUGUGCUGCACAGUUGAAUUUGUAGUGAUGGAUGGUAUCAACACUAGUUAAGGAUAAUUCUUUCUAUGUGUGUAACCUGCUAAAACGCUCCCAAAAUUUGUCAGGAAGAGAAGACAUGAAUACUGAAGAAAGAAUUACAGUAUCGGAUGGAAGGAAGGAAGAAACACAUGAGGCUGGGACAAGGAUUUGGAUCAGAAUGAUACAUCCUUUGCUCUGGCAGAUACAAGGAUAUGCUGGAAAACAAGCUUGCUGUCUUUCUGUUGCUGUGUCAAACCGAGACAACACAGGACAAAAGAAGGUGUUGAAGAGCACUGGCCCUAUGACCACUGGGUGACAUCACUUGUGACCAACCUCCACCUGGACAUAGAGCUUCUGACAACAACUCUCUGGCUACAACCAUCCAACCAAUUGUUUAUCCACCUAAUAGUCCAACCAUCACAUUCAUCUGUCUCCAAUUUAGAGAUAAGGAUGUUGUGCGGGACCACGUCAAAGCACAAGUCGAAGUGGACAAUAUCAGUUGCCUUUCUUUUGUCCACCAAUGUUGUCACUCCAUCAUAGAAGGCCACCAGAUUUGUCAGGGGAGAGACAGUGCUUCUGUCCAUGGGCUGUGACCGUCAGAAGAAAUGGAGAUCACAGUACUGAUGAUUCCCUCCUCCUACCACUGCUGCUUCUAAUGGAAAAUAUUCACCCAUGCCUUUUGCCUAGGGCAUGUGAAACAACUCAGUGGAAAAGAGACUGCCUGGAUAAGAACAGGACAUAACCCUUGGCUAGAUUUUUUUAUUAUUAUUAUUUUACCAGUGGCAUUAGGGAUGCUCCAUAUUUAUGCCUGAGAGAUCAAAAAGGAAAGAAAAGUAAGCAUGAGACUAUAAAGCCGUACAGCAAGCUGGUUUGACUCAACAUAAUCCCAGCUCAGAGUGUUGCAGCGCCCUGCUACUUUUGGAGGAAUGAAAAUUAUUUCAGGACGUUGCAUACUUGGACACAAUACCUGUUACAGAAACAACUGUGGUCUAAGGUUAUGUGAAAGACUACUGCAGGCAUUAUGCCAGAUGGCAUUGGACAAGUGUCAUGAAGGAAUCCUGCUCCAAGGCUGUUCUUGGUGUUUUGGAUUAAGCUCUUACUGAAAAGGGGCUGAAAACAAGACUGCUGGGAGAGCAAAGAACGGACCUUUGAUUUUUUUUUUUUUUUUUUUUUUUUUUUUGCCUGCUUAAUUCUAACUCAUUUGUCUCUUCUGGAUCCUGAAUUCUGAGAAGAUAACUGCAGAUAAAAGCUCUUCAGGACAUGUGAAUUGUGCUUGCAGUGUCAGUGAACAUUAGCAGAACAUCUGCUGCAGACUGGACUUGAAGUCAAGGACCAUAUAGCUGGCUGUCAACAGGCUGCGAUUGUACACAGGGGAAAACAGCAAGGACUAGACUGAGUGGAUUCAGAAGAGUACUAUCUGACAUUAGAUGAAGGCAGAAUCAUGGGAAGGUCUGUUUCUAUCUCAUGCAGCCUAGUAGACAAGUGGAAGAGAUGGGCAUCAACUCUGCAUUCAGACUGCCUGAAAAUUCAAAUGAGUUUGGAUAAAACUUUGAAAUGGGUUGUUCCAUUCUUGCUACAGCUUCACCAGCUAAGGCCGGUGGUCCAAUAGAGUUCCCAUCUUUGGGGGAAACGUGAAAGCUUCUGCUUUCAUUUACUCUUUUGUGCAAAAUUAAAUAAACCUAAUGCAUCCUUUAAGGCAAACAAAAAAGGUUUCUUCCACCUGUUGCUCUUGUUAGGUCCAUUUUGUUUUUAUUUGCAGUUUCUCCCAAUUAAUGCUCAUUUUAUCAGUUCUUUAUGGUUUUGCUCUUUUUUUUUUUCCUAUUUUGAUGACAUUUUGAUUUGUUUCAAACUGCCCUUUAUUUUCAUUUUCUUUCCAAGCAUGUUGAUUUACGGUCGU
ensembl:lncRNA